rnacentral:misc_RNA from 1 species
CGGUGCCACGUCUGCGCCGCCGUCCCUGGCGCGACGCUCCACCGACGCAGGACCGAAUAUUGCCCGAUCCUGAGCAAGACUCAUGUGUCUGUAUUACUUCCUUGUUUUCCUCGUCUCUCAGAUGAUGGAGACUUGUCCUUGUUUAUUCAUUGGAAGUGCUGCUGUCCUUCGUAACAGUACAAGACGAACUCGACGAGAGCCACAACUCCUCGGUGAUGCGCCUGCUUCUUUUCCUGUUGCAGCUAAGGAAGCGUCGAAUGUGUGGCGGCCCCCAGGCAGACUCUCUCCAUUUACGCGACCUGCUUCGCCGCCAGCGUCGGAUUUCUUCUCACCUCGCGCCGUGUUCGCACUCCCUGCCUGAGCUGCCCUUCGUCGACACGAGUUUUAAGCUCGGGUUCCACUUUUGCUCGAACGAGAAAAGCGGUGGGUGUCACACAGCACACGUGCGUCGUCCUUUGGCAUUCUGCUGGGCAUCGCCGCACGACUAUGCGGAUCGCCUUCUUGUGUAUUUUUUUGUGCGUGUGCCGUUGGUAAACGAUAAGCUGGCACCCUCGUGUAGUGCUCUCCUUUCGCGAACGAAAGAAAGGAUGGUGGCGAGGAGGAGGAGGAAUAGGUGGGAAUGCGCAACGCUUCCUGCAUCUUACCGCUCCCCCAAACCUCUUUCUAUGCUAUAUAUAUUUUUUUUUCGUGUUCCAUUCCCGCGAUGCGCACCUCUUCCCUCUCACUCAUCUCUUGCCUCUCGAUGUCAGAACCAUCUAACAAACAAGCUGGGGGUGUGGCGUAGUGGGGUGGGAGAGCGCUCUGGAUAGCCUUGCAUCUUCUUGUGCACAUGUGCGUCAUCGUGAGUGUGUUGCGCGUUUGACUGUUGUAAUCUUCUCUGCCUUUUUCUUUCCGGUUCUCUCUCUACCGGUGCUCGUAUAACGGAUUCAUAUCUGUGUGUGUGUGUGUGUGACUCGGAG